UACAGAGGUCUCAAGCGUUGUUCGGAUUCAUUGGGCGUAAAGGGUGCGUAGGUGGCGGGGUAAGUCAGGUGUGAAAUCGCCCGGCUCAACUGGGCGGGGUCGGCGGAUACGGCCGAGCUGGAGCAAGCUAGGGGGUAAUGGAAUUCCCGGUGUAGUGGUGGAAUGCGUAGAUAUCGGGAGGAACACCAGUGGCGAAGGCGGUUACCUGGAGCUUUGCUGACGCUGAUGCGCGAAAGCGUGGGGAGCGAUCCGG
rnacentral:rRNA from 1 species